CAGUAGCCGCGGGAAUACGAAGGGGGCUAGCGUUGCUCGGAAUUACUGGGCGUAAAGGGUGCGUAGGCGGAUGUUUAAGUCAGAGGUGAAAGCCCAGGGCUCAACCUUGGAACUGCCUUUGAUACUGGACAUCUUGAGUGUGGGAGAGGUAAGCGGAACUCCGAGUGUAGAGGUGAAAUUCGUAGAUAUUCGGAAGAACACCAGUGGCGAAGGCGGCUUACUGGCCCAUUACUGACGCUGAGGCUCGAAAGCGUGGGGAGCAAACAGGAUUAGAUACCCCUGUAGUCCCUGUCUCUUAUAC
rnacentral:rRNA from 1 species